rnacentral:rRNA from 1 species
GAUAAACGCUGGCGGCGUGCCUAACACAUGCAAGUCGAACGCCCUUUUGCGCAAGUGAGAGGGAGUGGCGGACGGGUGAGUACCACGUGGGUACCUACCUUGAGGUGAGGAAUACCACCGAGAAAUCGGUGACAAGACCGCAUACGCUUGGCAACAAGCAAAGUCUCGCAAGAGACGCCACAAGAUGGGCCUGCGCCUGAUUAGCUAGUUGGUGAGGUAAUGGCNCACCAAGGCGACGAUCAGUAGCUGGUCUGAGAGGAUGAUCAGCCACACUGGGAUUGAGAACGGCCCAGACUCCUACGGGG